rnacentral:lncRNA from 1 species
UAUAGGCACGCGGUUUAGUUGUAGAAAAACAAAGUGAAACAUUUAGAAUUUUUUUUUAUUUUUAGCCCAAAUUUGAAUCAAAUUCCAAAUUUAGGCCGGUUUGCAAAGUAUUUGUAAAUCUAGGCCGUUUGGCCCCGCCACCAUGCAUGGCGGGGCAAAUGCAUUGCACCCCGCCAUGCAUGGCGGCGGGGUAGGGGCAUCCACGUGG